rnacentral:rRNA from 1 species
AGAGUUUGAUCAUGGCUCAGAUUGAACGCUGGCGGCGUGCCUAACACAUGCAAGUCGAGCGGUAACAGGUGUAGCAAUACAUGCUGACGAGCGGCGAACGGGUGAGUAAUGCUUCGGAAUCUACCCAAUGGUGGGGAAUAACCAGCCGAAAGGUUGGCUAAUACCGCAUAAGUCCUACGGGAGAAAGCAGGGGAUCGUAAGACCUUGCGCCGAUGGAUGAGCCGAAGCCGGAUUAGCUAGUUGGUAGGGUAACGGCCUACCAAGGCGACGAUCCGUAGCUGGUCUGAGAGGACGACCAGCCACACUGGGACUGAGACACGGCCCAGACUCCUACGGGAGGCAGCAGUGGGGAAUAUUGGACAAUGGGGGCAACCCUGAUCCAGCGACGCCGCGUGUGUGAAGAAGGCCUGCGGGUUGUAAAGCACUUUUAGUGGGGAUGAAAAGCUCAGGGCUAACACCUCUGGGUCUUGACCUAACCCACAGAAAAAGCACCGGCUAACUCUGUGCCAGCAGCCGCGGUAAUACAGAGGGUGCAAGCGUUAAUCGGAAUUACUGGGCGUAAAGCGUGCGUAGACGGUUACGUAAGUCGGGUGUGAAAGCCCCGGGCUCAACCUGGGAAUUGCAUUCGAGACUGCAUAGCUAGGGUGCGGAAGAGGGAAGCGGAAUUUCCGGUGUAGCGGUGAAAUGCGUAGAUAUCGGAAGGAACACCAGUGGCGAAAGCGGCUUCCUGGUCCAGCACCGACGUUCAGGCACGAAAGCGUGGGGAGCAAACAGGAUUAGAUACCCCCGUAGUCC